GAGACAUCGAGAGCGAGAUCGCCAUGGCCGCCGCCGCCGCCAAGAACGGCCGCAUUGCCGUCGCCGCGCUCCUCCUGGCGGCGCUGGCCCUGUCCGCGCAGCUCGCGCCGGCCGCGGCGUGCUCCUACUGCCCGACGCCGAAGCCGCCUCCGCCGCCGCCGCCGGCGCCGUCCGGCGUCCCGUGCCCGCCGCCGCCGUACACCCCCACCCCGGCGACGCCGACGGGGAAGUGCCCGGUGAACACGCUGAAGCUGCUGGCGUGCGUGGACGCGCUGAACGGGCUGGUGCACGCGGUGGUCGGCGCCAAGGCCAGCGACACCUGCUGCCCGCUGCUGUCCGGCGUCGCCGACCUCGACGCCGCGCUCUGCCUCUGCACCGCCAUCAAGGCCAAGGCGCUCGGCGUCAGCCUCGUCCUCCCCGUUGCCAUCUCCGUGCUCGUCAACGAGUGCGGCAAGCACGUCCCCUCCAGCUUCCAGUGCCCAUCAUAAAUCACCUCAAUUAUGUAUGAUCACUAAUUAAUUAAUAAUCACCUACUGCAUCUGAUCUCUGCAUGCAUGCAUGGAUUAAUUAAUUAAGCUAUCAAAUUACAUAUUACCUGCAUAAUUAAUAAGUAUAGUUUA
rnacentral:misc_RNA from 1 species